GACGAACGCUGGCGGCGUGCUUAAUACAUGCAAGUCGAACGGAAAGGCCCUGCUUUUGUGGGGUGCUUGAGUGGCGAACGGGUGAGUAACACGUGAGUAACCUGCCCUUGACUUUGGGAUAACUUCAGGAAACUGGGGCUAAUACCGGAUAGGAGCUCCUGCUGCAUGGCGGGGGUUGGAAAGUUUCGGUGGCUUGGGUUGGACUCGCGGCUUAUCAGCUUUUUGGUGGUGUUGUGGAAUACCCUGGCUUUGACGGCUAGCCGGCCUGAGAGGGUGACCGGGCACAGAGGGACUGAGGAAGGGCCCAGAGUGCUACGGGGGGCAGCGGUGGAAGAUUUUGCACAAUGGGCGGAAGCCGGAUACAACGACGCCGGGUGCGAGAUGACGGUCUUCGGGGUGUAAACCGCUUUCGCCUGUGACGAAGAGUGAGUGACGGUAAUGGAUAAAGAAGCACCGGCUAACUACGUG
rnacentral:rRNA from 1 species